CUUGAUUUGAUAGGAGGUAACAAUGGAAUCUUUUAAAACCAUUUGCUCUGUCAAAUGAUUGUGUUCUGAAUUGUCGUGGUAAAUUUAUUUUUCCAAAGCAAUCGUCCCUAAUUUUUUCAAUCAAAAUAGGUUCUCUUUGAGCUAAUAAUAAUCAUUCAAUGCAAUGCUUUAUGAAGCCCUUCCCUGUUACAGGAAUUGCAGUGGAAAUGUGAUGGACAUGAAUAUUCAACCUUAAAUUUUCUACUUUAUGUGACAAAUACAACAAUGACAUAAGGUAGAGAAAGAAAACUGUUAUGAGGGAGCAAAAAACAGGUAUAAAGCAUGAGGAAGAUCAUUCCAAAGAGAACACAGAACAGUUAGAAAUAUAGGACAAGGUAAAGAAAAGAGGCUUCCUAAAAGUGAGUGAUGAGUGCCCUGAUCCAUCCUUCAAGUCAGGUUUGGUCUUGAAGGAUGGAUCUGGGUACUGGCAGCCAAACAGGACACUGCUGGGAGAAGCUUCAGGAAAGGUGCAGCAUGGGAAGAGGCAGGGCAGGAAGUAUGGCCACAUCAAGGGACAGGGCACUCAGACUGGUACAAAGAGAACGACAGCUCUCAAGCUUGAGUGUGCCUCAGAAUCUCCUGAGAGGCUCUUGACAGCAGAUCACUGGGACCAACCCUGGGGUUUGGGGUCUGGGGUGUAGGUCUGGGAUAGGACCCAAGAGUGGCAGCUGAUAUUGCUGGUCCUGGACCACAUUUAGAGACCCACGGAAUAUAAUGGUUCUUAAAAGCAGGAAAACCUGCUAAACCAGAAAAAGGUCACAUCUUGGAGAAAACAGGGAGUCCCAGAUGAGAAGCAGAUCUUAGACCACACUGGUGGAGCACAAGAUGAUUGAGAGAGCCUCCUAAAGGGGAACACAGUCUAAGGGGUAUACCACGGACUCUGGGGCCACAUUUCCUGGAUUUUUUCCCCAGUUCUGUUCAUGCUCAGCUACAAAGUGGGGAUUCUAAUUAUAUUUACCUCAUAGGGUUAUUAUGAGGAAUAGAUGUAGAAAUAUUUCAUUAGGAGCUAAGGCAUAGUUUAGACAUAGCUAAGUCAAUAUGUUUAUGAAAUAUAAACAUGAAGUCAAGAUGUGUUGAAUCACAAUGUUAAGUGCAAUGUCAGAAAAGCUCAUUAUGAAGUCUAAUCAGCCAGUAAGUGGUGUGAGAGACAGAUGGACAGGAAAACCAAUGAAGAAGCUAUUAUGGCAGUCCCCAUGGAGGAAAAAAAACAAAAGCCUGAAUUACACUUGGGCCUGCUAUGGGAGACACCACAGUAGCAGACAGUCCCAACAUGCAGAUGAGAUUUCUCUAGAUUUGGAACUAGGUGCAUAAAUUUACUUGUGCUUUUUAAUUUUUUUUUUUUUUUUUUUUUUUUUUACUUUUUGUAAUGCUAGGGAUCAAACCCAAGGUUUCACACAUGCUAAGCAAGCAUUCACUCACUAAGCUACAUCCCAGUCCUGUUGGAUUUAUUUUUUUUAGCUUUUCUAUUUUUACCUUUGUGUUUUUAACGCACACUUACACACACCACCUAUAAUAUUGAUUUAAGUAUUUCAAAUUAUAACCCUGAAGAAAAGUCAACCAGAAAAUUGGAUUUUGGAGAUGACAGAUAUCAUAGGUUGAAUUGUGUCCUCCCAAAAUGAUAUGUUGACAUUCUAGGACCUUAUCAUGUGACCACAUUUGGAAAUAGGGUUGUUAGAGGUGUAAUUAGUUAAGAUGAAGUCAUACUGGAGGAGUAUAAGCCUCUAGUCCAAUAUGACUGGUGUCUUUAUACGAACACCAUGUGAAGAGACAUGCACAGAGAAAAGAUGAUGUGCAGACACCAAGGAGAAGAUGGUCAUCUAUAAGCCAAUGAGAGAGGCCUAGAACAGAUCCUUCCCUCACAGCCCUCAAAGGUAACCAACCAAGACAACACUUCCAUGUAAGAUUUCUGGCCUCUAAAACUGUGAAAAAAUGAAUUCCUACUUUUGUAAGUCUCCUUAUUUUUGGUACUUUGUUAUAGCAGUCCUAGCAAACUAAUGUAGCAGCCUAGUGAAAUCAUAGGAGUAGCUGAUUAAAGAGAAAUUUUGUAGAAAACAGAGAACUAGGGAUAAUUUGCAGUGAGGAUGAGCGUAGCUGGGUGCUAUGAUUUGGAAGUGUUUCCCAAAGGCCCAUGUGUUAAAGACUUGUGGCCAGCCUGGGGCACUAUUGGGAGGUAGUGAAACUUUUAAGAGGCAUGUCUACUGAAAAGAAGUUAGGUCAUUGGGGCGGGUCUUAAGGGAAUGUUAGGACCCCAGCCCCUUCCUGAGGCUCUCCUCUUGCUCCUGGUUGCUGUCAUCUGAGCAGGUACUCCUUUGGCAUGCAUCCUUGCCAUGAUAUACUGUACCACCAUAGGCCCAAAACAACAGAGCCAAAUGACCAUUUACUGAUACCUCUGAAACCAUGAGCCAAAAUAAAACUUUUCCUCUUUCUAAAUUGAUUCUUUCAAGUAUUUCAUCAUGGUAAGAGAAAGCUGAUUAGCACAGUGGACCAGAAAGAAAAAAAAUGAUAUAAAAACUUGCUAAAGCAGAAAGCAGGAAAGCUAAGAUGGCAUGUUCUCUAGGGUUCUGGGGAUAAGGGCUCCAUGGAGGAAUGGAUGGGCAGCAAUGUGUUUUUUAAAUGUAGGAUUUUAUUAUUAUUCAAGUCUGGUACAGCCAACAGAUCAGUAGACACCUGCCAUUGAAAAGACAGCUUAUUACACACAGUUCUCAAAAGAAGGGGUUGCACCAUGCCAUGCAGGGUCACAUGGAGAAGCACCAGCAUUGGUCAUAAAGCAGAGGGAGUAAGGGGAAACAUGAGCAAGGGCCUUUCUGCAGGAAAGGCCAGGCAAGGCAGAGCGAGCAGGCUUAGGACUGACUAAUAUGGAUCUUUUCCAUUGCCUCUGGUACAGAGGGACUAUCCUUAGCUGUCUAGUAUACAACCCUCAGUGCGCUGAAUCCAGGAGAGCUAAAAGUAUCCAAGUCUUAUUCUGGAUAGCUGCUCAGUGUGUAUUAGGAAAGGAAGUAUGAAAAACUUAAAAAUUCAAUUAAAACUCUCAACUUCAAAGAGUUGGAUAACAAAAAUUUUUUUCUUAUUAAUGAAUAAUGUAACACAAUAUACCUUUAUGAAGAACACACACACCUCUAGAACAAAGCCUAUAAAAAAAAAUAGAGCCAUCACAGAAGAAGAGAUAUGAAUGGUCAAAAAAUAUAUGAAAACAUGUUAACAUCUCUAGCAAUUAGAGAAAUGCAAAUCAAAACUACACUGAAAUUCCAUCCCGCUCCAGUCAGAAUCACAAUUAUCAAGAAUUCAAGUAAUAAUAAAUGUUGGCAAGGAGAUAGGGGGGAAAGGUACACUCAUACAUUGCUGGUGGGGCUGCAAACUGGUGCAACCACUCCAGAAAGCAGUAUGGAGGUUCCACAAAAAACUUGGAAUGGAACAACCAUUUGAUCCAGUUACCCCUCUCCUCGGUUUAUAUCCAAAGGACUUAAAAUCAGCAUAUUACAGUGACGCGGGUACAUCAAUGUUUAUAGUGGCUCAAUUCAUAAUAGCCAAGCUAUGGAACCAACCUAGGUGCCCUUAAACAGAUCAAUGGAUAAAAAAUGUGGUAUAUACACACAAUGGAAUAUUAUUCGGCUGUAAAGAAUGAAAUUAUGGCAUUUUUCAAUAAAUGGAUGAACCUGGAGAAUAUCAUGCUAAGUGAAAUAAUACAAUCCAAAAAAACCAAAGGCCAAAUGUUUCUCUGAUAUGUGGAUGCUAACUCACAACAAGGGAGGAUGGGGAUAAGAACAGAAGUCCAUUGGAUUAGAC
rnacentral:lncRNA from 1 species